GACGGAGGGUGCAAGCGUUGUUCGGAAUUACUGGGCGUAAAGCGUGCGCAGGCGGUGAUGUAAGACAGGUGUGAAAUCCCCGGGCUUAACCUGGGAACUGCAUUUGUGACUGCAUCGCUGGAGUGCGGCAGAGGGGGAUGGAAUUCCGCGUGUAGCAGUGAAAUGCGUAGAUAUGCGGAGGAACACCGAUGGCGAAGGCAAUCCCCUGGGCCUGCACUGACGCUCAUGCACGAAAGCGUGGGGAGCAAACAGG
rnacentral:rRNA from 1 species